AUGAGGUUAGGCUUCAUUUAAAAGUAGACCAAAAAACAAAGGAUGUGCUUAAUCUUCUUCAUG
rnacentral:tRNA from 1 species